rnacentral:rRNA from 1 species
GAUGAACGCUGGCGGCGUGCUUAACACAUGCAAGUCGAACGAUGAAGCCCAGCUUGCUGGGUGGAUUAGUGGCGAACGGGUGAGUAACACGUGAGUAACCUGCCCUUAACUCUGGGAUAAGCCUGGGAAACUGGGUCUAAUACCGGAUAGGAGCGUCCACCGCAUGGUGGGUGUUGGAAAGAUUUAUCGGUUUUGGAUGGACUCGCGGCCUAUCAGCUUGUUGGUGAGGUAAUGGCUCACCAAGGCGACGACGGGUAGCCGGCCUGAGAGGGUGACCGGCCACACGGGGACCGAGAACCGGCCCAGACUCCUACGGGAGGCAGCGGUGGGGAAUAUUGCACAAUGGGCGCAAGCCUGAUGCAGCGACGCCGCGUGGGGGAUGACGGCCUUCGGGUUGUAAACCUCUUUCAGUAGGGAAGAAGCGAAAGUGACGGUACCUGCAGAAGAAGCACCGGCUACUACGUG